GAGUUUGAUCCUGGCUCAGGAUGAACGCUGGCGGCGUGCUUAACACAUGCAAGUCGAACGAACCUUCGGGUUAGUGGCGGACGGGUGAGUAACGCGUGAGAAUCUGCCCUCAGGAGGGGGAUAACAGCUGGAAACGGCUGCUGAUACCCCAUAUGCCGCGAGGUGAAAUGAAUUUCGCCUGAGGAUGAGCUCGCGUCUGAUUAGCUAGUUGGUGUAGGUAAAGGCUCACCAAGGCAUCGAUCAGUAGCUGGUCUGAGAGGAUGAUCAGCCACACUGGGACUGAGACACGGCCCAGACUCCUACGGGAGGCAGCAGUGGGGAAUUUUCCGCAAUGGGCGAAAGCCUGACGGAGCAACGCCGCGUGAGGGAUGAAGGCCUCUGGGCUGUAAACCUCUUUUAUCAAGGAAGAAGAUCUGA
rnacentral:rRNA from 1 species